GAUGAACGCUGGCGGCGUGGAUAAGGCAUGCAAGUCAAACGGCUCCAAAGAACAAGCUUGCUUGUUUUGAAAGAGCAGUGGCAAACGGGUUAGUAACGCGUGGGUAAUCAACCCCAUUCACGGGCAUAACCGGCCGAAAGGUCGGCUAAUUCCCGAUGGUCUCAUUAUCUCUUAUGAGAAUUUGAGUAAAGGGUAUACGCAAGUAUGCCGGAAUGGGAUGAGCCCGCGACCUAUCAGCUUGUUGGUAAGGUAAAAGCUUACCAAGGCUAUGACGGGUAGGCGAGGUUAGCGCCUGAUCGCCAACAAGGGCACUGAGACACGGGCCCUACUCCUACGGGAGGCAGCAGUCGAGAAUAUUGGACAAUGGGGGAAACCCUGAUCCUGCGACGCCGCGUGAGGGAAGAAGGUUUUCGGAUCGUAAACCUCUGUUGUACGGGAAGAA
rnacentral:rRNA from 1 species